UUUCCUUUAUCCUCCGUUCCUGCGAGCUGCUCUUUCACCGAAGUUCCACGACACUGCACACUCCAGCUCAUGUAAACAAAGCACUGUGCUGUGAUCCCACAUGGCACACAGCCAGCAUAUGAAGCUCCUGUUCCAUGGCCUUUGGACCAACUGUUUGAGCAGUACAUAAAGGAUCAAUUUCUGUUUUAACCUGGUGAAACUCUUUGGCCAUUUUGCAGUGGUCUCUGUAGACUUGGACAGACUCCUUCAGGGACUGGCAUGGUAACACCGGCUGUGGCAAUAAAAGGAAGAGAAGACAGAAAGAACUAUACAUGAGACUGGGAAAAACGUUCACAUCUGCCAUGACGCAAUUGUGCAUUAUCCCAUCAACCUGGAAAUCAAUGCAUCAUGCCAUCAACCUGAGGCAGACGUCAAAUUAAAUUAUACUGUAUACCUCAA